rnacentral:rRNA from 1 species
UGAGGAAUAUUGGUCAAUGGGCUUACGCCUGAACCAGCCAAGUCGCGUGAGGGAAGACUGCCCUAUGGGUUGUAAACCUCUUUUGUCAGGGAGCAACAACAUCUACGAGUAGGUGUUACG